UGCUGUCUCACAAAUACUUGUGUAACCCACUGGCAAUGAGAGUGUUUUAGCACCCUGCAUGAGCUGGUCCACAAAGGGAACAACAGCAUAUCUUCCCCAUUACGCUUAGAGCUGUAGUGUAAGGGAUCUGUACAGCAGGUCUGAAGGUUGUGGGUUGAAAACCUGAUGAUGAUCCAUGUGAAUACGACAAAUUAUGUGUGUGUAUUACUAUGAAAGGAAGGAAUGUAUCACGUUGAUUUGGCAUCAUCGGCAAAAAAAGAAUUGUUUCAGUGGUACUGAUUAUCAACUUUAUUUACUAUGCCAAGAGUUGUACUGAGGCACUGAUGAAGACAUCAGCAUCAUGCCAGAAAUUACUGGAAUCCAUCCACAAACGGAAUCAAUGGAAAGAAAAAGAGUAGCUGAAUCUUUGAAGAAUACCACUGUGGAAGUCCUAGUUAAAUGCUUGGUAGCACCUUACAGGCUAGAAGAAAUGCAUGCAUAAACUGAAUUUGGCGAGCUUGGAGAAGAUGUACAUCGAGCAUCAGGAAAAAAUUCAAGAUGCAAAGACAACUGCCAGUCGUGGGCAAGAGUCACCUUAUCUUAGAUCCCUUGGCAUGCGUUUUGAGAAGAAUACCUUUUCUUCUGCAGUUUUCCAGAAGCCCGAAAGUAUCCAUUAAGCACAGUUUUGACACAUAAGACAGGUGUGAAACUGUAUGAAGCAGUCAUUCUUAGUAAGAAUGUUGCAUGGAAAAUAAAGGGGAGUGCAUUGACCCAAAAGAUGCCCAUGCAUAUGAUAUUGUGUAUCACAUCAAGUGCUACACCAAUAACAUAUAUAUUGUGUCAAAAGGUAAAAGCAAUCGAAACAAAUACUGAUGUUACCACUGUAAACUGUGCAACUCAGCUGGAGUUCAAAAACUGCCUCACAGAGGGCUCAAAUGGAUGGAAAAGUGGUGGUGAUGGGUGAUGCAAAGGCUAAGUACAGAGAAAUAUGUGCUUUGAACAGGAUUGAAGAGGAACAAAUGCUUAGCAGAAAAGCUCUGAAAGCAUUUAUUGAAGAUGAACUGUGGGAUGUGGAUGUAGUUUUUAGCAAUCCUAUCCACAGAAAUGAAUCACAGCGCAUAUACUUAUAAGCUGCAAAAGACGUGGCGCUAUCCAAAGCGCUGAUGUCAACAGCAAUAUGAAGACUGUUUCCAGAUGCUAAAUGUUUACGGAAAAGCAUUGUGUCCUGCAGUAUGUGGGAGUUUCAGGGAUCCAUAGUUGAUGCCAAAUCUGAAAAAAUAAUACUGAGUGACCUGUUUUUCUUUUUUUUUUAAAUGGUGCAUCUUUGAUCAUGGUGACUUCAGCACCAGCAAGCUUGACAUUAAGCAAGUGGAGCACAAGGCUGCCAUUUUAUCACAAAGCCUCAUGUACGAGUGCUUGAGUGAAAGGCAGGUUUUCAACACAUGCAUGACAACUGUGAGCCAUAUGCACAAUCUACCACUACAAAUGGCUGUUGGUUUAACAAUUAAUUCCAAAACCUGUAGCAAAUUUCUUGUGUAGUUUAUGCACAGCAUUGCCUCCUCCACUGAGUAUAAAGUACUCUUCCUGGAGACUGCAAUAGCAAGCAAUGUUCUUAGCUGCAUGGAACUGAAUGAACGGCUGUACAUUCCCCAGAUCUCAUCAAGGGAAGGUCUAUAUUUUUGUGCUGCCAAUAACUUAGACUUCCUUGAAGAUACAGCGGAUGGCACAGGUACUCUUCAUGCUACUGUUAUGGUCUGCUAUCAGGACUAUAUUAAUGGAGACUAGUCCCAGCCUCAUGUGCUGUCUGGACCAGCAAAGAACUGUUCCUUGAAAGUGCUUCCUGACUUCAUGACACACACACUUUUCUAUCAAGUCCAAAAAUUCUGAAGCCAAAAACUCAGUUUUCAAUAAAGUAUUGGUUUAAUUGACUAAAGCAGAGCUUUCUGCAUUCACUAACCUUGACCUCACUUCGUUAUUGUGGAAAAGUGGGAUGCACUCCAAAGGUGAAAAAUAAUUGAGUAUGGCUUCAGCUGAAGAGGGAGAAGACAUAUUCUCAAAGGAUCUGGAUAUCUAGGACAUAUCAUACAUCAUUUCGGGGAAAAAAUACAUUCCAACAUCAGCAGCAGACAGCAAAUGACCCAUGUAUACAUCCUGCCAGUCAUACCUGCUAGCCCCAUUGAUCGCUCCUUUCACUAAGAAAACUUGCCACCGUCCAGAGGUGCAUGUAUAGCUGCUAUCAAGAAGAGGAUUAUCAAGCAAUGGAAUGACUGGGAUGAGUGAGUGCAUGCCUCUAUCAGGCAUGGAUGGGUCAUGCAGGAUGGACUGAUACGAAAUGCACUUCCGAAUCAAUCCAUCUGCUAAUCAAUUGCUUGUAUGCAAAGACCAGAUGCUCACCACCCUGCAAAUGUU